AAAACAAAAAGUAAAGGAAGAAAAAAGAAUUACGACUUCAUUCACCCUUCUUACCAACUCUCGUUCUGUGGGCCUGCUUUGCCAGGAAGAAUGUUCUGUAGUUUGCAAAGGCAGGAGAACUGUAGAGGUUUCUUCCCUGAGGUCUGCUUUCAGAACGAAGAAGGAGGAGGGCUCCACAUUGGGUCCGUGUUUUCCAGGAAGCAAAAUAAAAUAGACCCCAUCAUUCAGUUCUCUCUAGUGGGCCAGAGCAUCAUUCCCUCCCCUCUCUAUAACCAUAGCAAAGUGCAGGGAGUAACACAUCCAUUGGCUAUCAAAGCAUUAGGAAGCAUCCCUACCAGAAUUCCAACAGAGGCCGUCAGGCCUUCAAAGACCAUCUUUCUUUUGUAAAGAGAUUGUCAGGUGCCUAGCACAUGAGCCCAUUCAAAAUUGGAUGAUGUUCUUUCCCGUGGGGUGUAUCUUUCAGGGUUCCCCAGAGAAAGUGAACCAACAGGACAUAUAUAUAUUUAGAGAGAAAGGGAUUUAUUUUUAAAGAAUUGGCUAAUGUGAUCGUUGAGGUCUGCUGAGCCCAGAAUCCCCAGCAUAGACCAGUAUUCCGGAGACCGGGGCAAGAGCUGCCGUUCAAGCCCAGAGGCCAUCUGCUGGCACAAUCCUUUCUUGCUCCAGAGAAGCCAAGUCUUUGUCCUAUUCCGGCUUUCAACUGAUUGAAUGAGACCCACCUGCAUUAUGCAUGAAGAUCUUUUCUUUUUUUUUUUAAGUUUAUUUAUUUAUUUUGAGAAAGAGAGACAGAGACAGAGAGAGAGACUCCUAAGCAGUGGGACAGCACAGAGCCGGAGGUGGGGCUGGAACCCAUGAACAGUGAUAUCGUGAGAUCAUGACCUGAGCGGAAGUUGAACGCUUAACCGACUGAGCCACCCAGAUGCCCCUGGAAACUUUUUUUUUUUGUACAAAUGCUUUUAUUACAUGAUAUUGUCAGUGCCUGUAUGUGGGUGUUCGGAUCAUGCAGACCACAAGUUCAUCAAGGACGGAGCCUGGCACAUUUGUCCCUCGGUACCAGCCGGUCCGUUGAGUGAAAUCGUUUUUCUGCCUUGAUAUGUUUCAUUUCCACAAGUGAGCCUGGUCUGAGUCAGAAACCUCAUUAUAUUUACCAACAGGCACUUGGUGAAGACGUUCAUCACAUACCUGAAAUUUGCAAGGUUAUCUCGAAUAUCUUCGAAUAUUGCUAAACACUCACCUUAAUCUCCCCGAUCAUCUCCUCUUUACCCCCUUAAGUGCCCACUCACCUAAAACACCCUGGGUAAUGAUGUUUAUUACCCAACAAUGAAAAUAUUGUUAUUUAUGGUUACAAUCAGGGUGUCAUCAAAUAUGAAUGCUCACAUUCGGUGAGGCCCUUUCAGCUGAUUGUUUAUGUAAAUGAAAGUGUUCCCUCAUCAUCGCAUCCAUUUGGGGAAGAAACAAUCAGCCAGGCGGGUUGUUUCUGUCUGUAAUAUCUUUUUAAUAUUCAGUUCACUGGAAGCCAAUCUGCAACAAAGAAAAAAAAAUAAAGAAUUUAAAGUUAAAUUUAAAUCGAUACAAAACAUGAAGUUGGGUGCCCUGUAACUCUUGGCACACGACAGACAGGAACUGCACGGCUAUUCCUCUCUGUUGGGAAACUAUGGCGGGGCCUCCAAUCAGGAUAGACUUCGCAAGAAAGACACAGCCUCUCCACCCUAAGUUUUCCCCCUCAGGACCAUGUGGGAGAGAUGGUUGUCCAACGGAUGUCACUGGCCCAGCCCUGUAACUGGCCAUCUUGAUGAUCUCGGGAUGUUACACGUACAUGCUUUGCAAUGUGCAAGUCUGGUAAUUUAUCCAUGACCAGAAAAUUAGAUACAAUCUAGGUUAUAACUCUAAAAUAACCAUCUCAAAGGAAAGAUCCUGUUAGAUCCAUAAGAAGAGGAAAAAUAUUCUGGCUAUAAUGCUCCUGGUGACUAAUACUGAGACUCUAUGUUUUUUUUUCUUUUUAAGUUUUAUUUUAUUUAUUUUGUGUGUGUCUGUCUGUGUGAGAGAGACAGAGAGAGAGAGAGAAUCCGAAGCAGGCUCCACAUUGUCAGUGCAGAGCCCCAUGAGAUCACGACCUGAGCUGAAAUUAAGAGUCAGAUGCUUAACCAACUGAGCCACCCAGGCGCCCCUGAGAGUCUAUGUUUAAAAAAAAAAAAAAGAAAAAGAAAAAUCAAUUAAAAAAAAGGAAAGAAAAGAAAAGAAAGGGAAAGGAAGGAAAGAGAAGGGAAGGAGAAAAGAAAAGAAAAGAAAAGAAGAUAAAAGAAAAGAAAAGAAAAGGAAGGGGAGGAGAGGGAAGGGAAGAGAAGGAAAGGAAAGGAAAGGAAAGGAAAGGAAAGGAAAGGAAAGGAAAAAAAGAAGAAAAGAAAAGAAAAAAAAGAGAAAAGAAAAGAAAGGGGAGGAGAGGGAAGGGAAGAGAAGGAAAGGAAAGGAAAGGAAAGGAAAGGAAAGGAAAAAAAGAAGAAAAGAAAAGAAAAAAAAGAGAAAAGAAAAGAAAAAGAAAAGACAUCCAUUAUAAUAUUCCCUAAGAGAUUAUGCAAUUUUUCUAUAAAGGACCAGAGAGGAAACAGGUUUGACUUUGUAGGUCUUUCAAUCUCUCUCCCUAAUUCUGCCUUUGUGGUACAAAAGCAGCCACAGACAAUGUCAGCCAACACAUGUGUCUACAUAACAUGAUUUACAAAACAGGAGGCUGGCCAGACUUGGACUGUGGACCGUAGUUUGCUGGCCACCGGUCUAUAGCAUCAUUACCCAAACUAUGACCCAUGAACCUUGGGCCAUACAAGCCACUCUUCGCAGGGGAAAAAAAAAAAAAGAUCCUCUGUACAAAUAAGUUGGUAAAGACUUCACAGCUUGUCUCCCUUGGACAUUUGGUAUACACGUCGGCCCCUUAAAUGGGCCAAGAAAUCCUACUACAAAGAAACUGCCGAAACCAAAAUUGUCCAAACGUGUAUGACCCUCCUCCGCACCCACCCCUCUGCCCGCCCAAAGGCCUCCUGCUUUGAGAGCUGCCCACAGGCUCUGGGAGGCUGAAUAAGGAAGUUGUUACACACACACACCUUCUAACUCUCUGAGCCAUCUAGUGAGGGACGGGAUUGGGAGCGGGGAGGGGGAAGGCGGGGAAUAGAUCCAGCAGGUGAGCGGGUAAGCCUCAAGAUUUGUUGGUUGGGAUGUUUUGUGUUAAUGGGCUGAAGACGAGCCGAGAACCAGCCUUAUGAUCUGAUGGAAGAAUCGGUGUAAGAGCCCCAAAUCUCACUCUUUGUUUUGCCAUUAAUUGGCUCUGCGGUGCCGGGACGCUACUCCACCUUUCCGCAUUUCGUCUGCAAAAUCGCUUCCCCUGGCUGCAAAAGGAAGAGAUUCGCCCAGGAAGUCCCUGAGGGCUUUGCUGUUUUACUGUUAUUUUGCCAACUGUAUGGUUCCUCUUUCCUUGAAGGGGAGACAGGACGUGAAGGCAAAGUCCCCGGGCGAGGAGGCACGCGGAAGAAAAGUCUGGUGCUUCCUUCACCAGGGACUUGACUUGUUGACUUUCAGUUCUGAGAAGACCGAGUUGGCUGAGUUUUGUUUCUGCACAGGGAGCCGCACAGGUCAAAGCCCUAGGAGGAAGGCAGAGGAAGCAGCAGGCACGUGCCUGGUGGGUUGGCGGGUUGGCACCUGGACACAGACCACUGGUCUGAACCCCAGUCCUGCAUUGACGACUCACGGCACCUUGCCAUGCUUCAUCCCGCGCCCUCCAUCUCCCAAUGUAUCGCCGGGGGAUGUGAGGAUUAGAAGGUACCCUCCAAAGUGUAGUAACAAGCAAAGGGCACCAUGCUGAACGCCAUUACUGCUACCGUCGCUGUGGUUACUCUGCACAAAAUGUGAAAACCAAACCAAAAUCGCUUUGGGAAUACACCGAAUACAGCCGGCGAAGCCAGUGAGGGAUCAAGCGAUCCUGUGGUGUAGACCAGCCUCCUCCUCUGCAAAAUGGACAUCUUUUAAACCCCCUUGGCAGGGACCUGUUGAGAGACACGUGGAGAGAUUGGUACGUGAUGCUUCCAACGUUGCCAAAGGUUUCUGACACACCAUUAUGCUGAAAACCAGUGGUGACGAUGGCAACCAGUGGGGAAUGCGUCAUGAGGGAACGGGGAGAAAACCCCAGUCUCUGCAGGACAGAUACGCGAGGGACCACGGGGCAGUCUAUGCCACGGAGGGAUAUGAAGAAAUUGGCCUUGAACCCAAAAGUUUCCGAGGAUUUAAAAAAAAAAAAAAAAAAGCCAUGAAUUUGCUUUCUUGAAAAUGUAUCCAAUUGAAUUUCCUUUCAAAUGAGAACUGAAUGAUUCCUUCAUUUCAGUUAGAACCUGGCUUCAUAAAUACCAUCUCUGCACAGUAUAUUACGCACAUCAUGUAUUCAGCAGAUAUCAUAAUAUAUUCAGGGCUGCUCUUAGGGAGAGAAAUUUCAAUAUUAGAUAAAAAUAGUGAGAUGGCGGCGGUAACUGUGUUUGUCUGGUACACGGAGUAAAUAGGAUUGUUAGCGAUUGCUCAAGGCUUCGGGAAAAGAUACGGAAACAAAGAUAGCUCCUGCCUGAUUCUGAGCCCGGCAGAGGCAGAGGUUCAAGGAAGCUUGAUUACCUUCUGCCUCCGUGUACUUCUAAGCAGGCCCAGAGAUGAGCUCCUCCUCCUUUCUUACAUUUUCUCGUAAGAAUAGUUGAAUGUUAUCCUAAUUAGAAAUCUGCUCAGAUUUGGAACCAGGCUGGUGUUGCCUUCUCUCCUCAUCCUUCCAGCCUCCCCCAUCCCUCUCCUUCACCUCUUUCUUUCUCACACACGUGCUGGUGAUAACGUUCAAGGUCGCAAAGAGUCAGAGGUCUCGGGCGGACCCCUAUCCCACGGAUACGACUUUGGCUUGGGCUCUCAGCCUCUCUGAACCUGUGUUCCUCAAUCAGCGACGAUGGGAUCGAACCGAGGACUCGGUCUGUCUCGGGCUGAGCCUCCUGGUUCAGAUCCCGUACAUGUAGGAGCCGGUUUAUAUGGAACACUAGCCGUGCCCAGGCCGUGUGCCAUACCUGCGCUAAUGCGUUUAACCCUUCCAACACCCCGGCUGGUAGGCAGUAUGAAUCCCCCGCUCGACGGAAGAGGAAACUGAGGCACAGAGAGUUUGCUUCAUUGGCCCAAGUUCACAUCAAGGCAUUGAUUGGCCCAGCCGGAAUUCCAACCUGAGCCCCGUGGUUCCAAAGCGCAGAGCAGAGGGCAGCGCCCAGCCUCUCACGAGGCACAGAGCGGCAGUGAAGGAUCCUGGUCAGACGCUCGAAGGCAGGGUUUGCGUCUAGUCACUAACGGGAGCACGGACGGGCGUGCACAACGCUGGCGCCUGACGGAUCUGAGAAGGGAAGGAGUUGUUCUGUGGAAAGAGCUGUAAUUUCGGCGAAGAAGCCGGUACAAGAGGAGACCCUGCAGGUGCCAGACCCAGGGCUGGGGGGUCGAGGGGCACCUCCUGAAAGACAAGUGUGGCCAGGCCGUGAAAGGCGGGCCCAGUCAGGUGGAUGGAGGAGGACAGCGCAGGGGGGAAGGGGAGAGGGGUGUGCGAAUGAUGGCAGGGGCUGCUGAGCUGAGAGCUCCUUGCUGCAAGGGGAGAGAAGCGACAAGCCUGUAGGAGCACACCUGAGCUGCCUUUUCCGUCUCUUUUUGUUGUUAAUACAGCCGGAUGCCAGUGGAGCGCUCCCAGGGCCCGUGCAAGGUCCAGCUGAGCUUCUGCACGAGGAUUCCCGGCCGCGUGGGUGAUGGCCAAGUGUGCAGGCGGAACCUGUAAUUACCAUGCAUUACCAAACUCUCCAAAAGCCCUACACGGUGGCACAGGGGGCAUUUCUCUAUGAUCUUCUGUCUGCGGACAAUGUGGAUUAGCACCUAAGAGCAUAACAUCUAAAUGAUUACAAUUAGCUCACCUCCGAUCUAAGCUUCUCGGCUUUUCUUCUGAGGCUGCCCAAAGGUGGGCAGAACAGCAUUUCACUGCGCCUGGCCCCGCCUGUUCCUUUCCUUUGGGCUCCUACACUCGGGGCAGCCCAGCGGGGCGUGCUGCUCGGGAAGGGCUGGGUGCGUGGGUAACGCGAGCGCUCAGUGGGACCAGAACCUGCUCUCUCAACCAUUGUUCCUGCCUCAUUAAGAAAUUCCUUGUUUGUGCGCCCACCAGUCAUAGUUUCUGUGUUGUUGUUUUCUCAAGCCUUCUGACAGUUUCAAAACCGAGAAGCAUGACUCAAUCCUAGUGGGGGCUCGAAUUGAUUCUCCUGAAUGAAGAAAACGAAAUUACAUAUGUAGGAAGAUUCUUGAAUCUUGCCUUUUCCACUCUGCUCACCCACCUUCAGAACCAACCUCCAUACUGAAGUCAGCAGGUGCCAAUGUGUGUCUUUCUUGGGCUUCCGCCUCCUGGAGAGCCAAAUCCUCCGGCAUGGGGCUGGAAGCCUGCAUAGACACGUUCCGGCUCAGUCCCCAUCUGCAGGGACAGUUAAGAAAGCUGAUGUUCAGAGUCAUCGCAUAGAGCGAAGAAAUAUAGGAUGUGGAAAGAUGGAAAGAAAGAAAGAAAGAAAGGAAGAAAGAAAGAAAGAAAGAGGAGAGAGGGAGGAAGGAAGGAAGGAAGGAAGGAAGGAAGGAAGGAAGGAAGGGAGGGAGGAAGGAAGGGAGGAAGAUUCAGACACAAGUGCAUCUGAUUUCAAAGUUUUCAUUCCUACCAUUAUGCUCAGUGUGAUUCCCCUGAACGAAGAGAAUAAAGUACACAGUGGGGAAGCUUCGGAUCAGUUCCAUCACCUAUUAGUAAGACGGUAAAAGGUUGCUCAAAAUCUGAUCGAGACAGCUGAAUUAUCAACGGCUUGACAGUUGCAGGGGAUGAGGCAGGUGCCCGAAAGUGUUUGUGGAAUUUAAACCUGGAUCUUCUACCGGAGGAAGGGCGAGUGCUGCUCGUAGAUACUGGAACCGGCUCGAGCAGUCAAGUCCGCCCAGCCCAUUAACGGUGUUUUGAUUCCAUGCCAAGUGUGUGGGGUCCCGGCUGCACAUUUCGGGGCAAGGCCACACCCCACUGGACCCUCCACUGUGCUCUCUUCCUUUCCAUCUUCUCAGCCAUCGUGCCCUUGUCCGCUCUCUGAAAUAGUGGGCAGAGAACAGAGAGAACAUUGAGGAUGAAGCGACCUGGGUUUGAACGUUCCUCCUCCUUUUCUUGCGUGUGAGUCUGGAAAAGUCUCUUGAGCUCUCUGAAAUCCUAUUUCUUCCUGCAUAAAUGACAGGAAAUGGAGUAAGCGGUUUUAAGAAUUUAAAUCGUACCGUCUCCCUCUCCUCUCCCUGUCUACGUUCACCUCUCCCAGUCGCCCUCCACUCUAGGGAAGCUCAAGGGACACGAGGAGAGGGCUAGGCCCGGUGCACCCAGAUUUGCAAACAUGUGGGCAGAGAGGACACGGAAUCUGGGUUCCCCCACAGGGUUCUCCUGGUAGAUACAGGGUCAAGACUCUCAGGGGUGCUUGGGGAUUCUAAGAGCCCAAGUGUCUCCAGCACGUAAAACUCGGUUAGCAUUCUGCUCUGGAGGCGACCUCCAACCCAGACUGGCCUCCUGGAGAUGCCCACACGGUGAGCCAGGAUUCAGGCUUCCUCCAGGAUUCACGCACCCUUUCUGGGGUGCCGUGUUCCCUGCUACGCCUUACCAAGGAAAAGGAGUGAGCAAAGCCGGAGAAUAGGAUCUGCAAAUAGGGAGGGAAGAAGGAGAUCUAGGGAAAGUGGAAAGACAGAAAAGAAAGGAAUACAGAAGACAGAGAGAGAGAGAGAGAGAGGGAGGGAGCAGGCACCAGGGAAAGAUGUAGAGCUAGCAAGAAGAAAAAAAAGGAAGGCAGGAGGGAGACAGAGAGACAAAGAGAUGUAGGAAAUAUACCACCGGAGACAGGAGAAAAUCAGGACACAGGGAAAUGCUUAAACUAUGCACGGUUUGAAUCCCUGUGCUUGGCCCUUUUGAAAACCUGAAUUUAUAAUGUGCACCAAAUUAAACUGGAACUUAUUCCAUUUACAAGAAAGACAACACAAGACACUGUAUCUAUCACCCUACUUCUCUCACCUGGGCCCUGCACUCUCUUUGCAGGGAAGACUGUUACUUCCAGCCAUCACAGGAGGGUCUUGGACAAGAUCAUCUCCUUGAAGCUACUUGAAAGUGUAGCCCAGACCAGGCUCGUCUGAGGCCAGAGUGCAGGGCCAGACCACUCACCAGCUCGAGCUGUCCAUCUCCAAGUUCAAGCCGGGUCUCACCCAAAGGAUCUCAGACACACAAGCUGAACUCCAAAGCAUGGAAGUCACUUAGAACUUGGGAGGGAAGACAGUUCUCCAUCCACAGCAAACAUGCAAUUGACUUGGGGGCUAGACCCCAAAUUCACUAGAAAUAUAUAUUCUAUAGGCCAGAAAAGAAAGAAACGUUUUCUGGAAAAUCCCACCCCCAAAAGGCAGAUAUGACCACAACGCUUACAAUCAAUGUAUUUAUUGUGAUAAUUAACAAGAAGAAACCUCACUAAAGUGGAGUAGGGGGACAGAAGGAGGAGCCAUACCACCCAACAUCAAUCACAGGAACAGGUGUCAAUGACAGACCCGGCAGAAGAACGGCCAACAGAAAAGGAUCAUCAAUUACAGGCCCCAAGAGGGAAAGAAAUACACUGCAUCUCCCACAAGAAAUAGAUCACCCCUGCAGCUCAGUCGGUGAGAAACCGCAUCACCCUCAACUCUUGCUUCUCUCCGAUGGACUCUUUCUCAAACAAUCUCUCCCAACUUCCUCUUUCUUUUCCAUAAAACAAUGUUUCCUUCUUCUCUGGGUUGGACUUGCCGAAGGUCUUGUCUCAGCUCGCGCGUCCCGGAUUGCAGUUGUCUGCUAUUCGCAAAUGAAUCUGUCUUUUGCCACUAACCUAACUGGCAGUUUUGUUUUCAAGGCUAACAUUGUCAAUUCCUAUAUUCGUCAUGUGACCCCCAAUACACAAAUAGCCCUGGGGACUAUACGAUAUGAAAUCAGGACAAGCCUCUGUCCUCCGGGAGCUUACCAUGCAGUGAAAGACUUAACCUCUAUGCUUAACUGUAUCUCAAAGAAGAUGUGAGAAAGGGAAAGUGCCAGCAACCCACACCAUCUGGCUAACAACAUACGCUUUAGUGCUCGUCUGAUCUCUCUCGCAGACCGGCUCGGGGGGCGAACCAACUUUGCAAAUCGUCAGUUUUCGCGUGUCUGAAACGGAGCGAAUGAAGAGCCUCGCCGCCCAGUUGCCUUGCAGCGUCAACGUGACCCAUCACUGUCCCCGGCUGCCCGUGAGUCCAUUUAUUAUCAGGUACCCAGUAAAUGCACGUGCCCCAGUUCCUUUCCCAACAAGGAAUUUUUUUUUUCUUCCAGUUUUGAGUUGAUGCUAUUUUUUUUUUUUAAUCGGCGGUUUUUGUUUUUUUCUCCUAUUCUUAACAAGUUUAAUAAAAGGGACAGUGAGCUGGAAAGGGAAAACAUGACAAAAUGUGAAGAAUUCUGAAAAUACAUCUUUCCAAAUUGUGCAGCUCGGUGCUUGGCAAGAUGACAAGGGCCCUUACAACCCAGUGCAAACACACUGCUGCAGAGCCACGCAGCUUGCGCGUGCAAUAUAUGUAUGUUACGUGCCAAGUGCUAAGCAAGUGCUUUUAAACAAACGACAAAUACGAGAAGCUCCUCGGAGGAUCAGGCCAAGUGAGCGUGAGGGAUCUCUGGAUUCGGGUGUGGACGCGCGCUCAUCUCCUCCCCGCCCACGAGACAGCGCCGAGCCCGGGACCCCCAGCACAGCGUCCCCUGCGCUUCCGGCCGCUCCGCAGGCUGGUGUCCAGGGUCCCCUGGAGUCACACGUGCCGUGCACGCCGUCAGGAAGACGCAGCUCGACUUCCGGUGUCCGGCUCCGGGGCUGUCGGACCCCAGGCAGCACCUUUCGGUGCACCCCCCCCCCCCCCCCCCCCCCCCCNNNNNNNNNNNNNNNNNNNNNNNNNNNNNNNNNNNNNNNNNNCCCGCCGGCUCGCGCCGAAAGCGACUUGAAAUGGAACGGGCCAUAAAAACCCCCUUCUUCUAUGCCGAAUGCUUGAUGCCAUCGUUAAAAAAGAGAGGGGAUGACAAAGUGAAAGGGAAAACGCCGUGGUUCUUUUAUGUGAAGAUUACAUUUAAAAAUAACCAACUAACCGUCUGCACUUUUCGGGGGCCUGACGUCUCGAAACGCAUUUAGAUUGAUGCAGAGCGGGGCUGAGGUUCUCGUGCUGAGUAAACAGUCAAGUGUUCUUAAUAGGAAUUGCAGUUUCUCGACAUCUGUUAGGGAAAAGGGAAUGGAGAAACAACAAUUUACAGCGAGAUUGGUUUUGUUAAAUGCAUUUAAAUUCCAAGAUUAGUGGUGUUCUUUCUUUUUCAAUUAGCAUUUACUUGUAGAAAGGUUACAGCUGAAAGGGCUGGGGAGGAGAUGGGGUGGGUUUCUCUCCCCGCCGAGAGGGCACUUCCAAGCACAGUAAAGCGAAAAUAGGAAGGGAGAGAAAAGACUGGAAAGAACUUCAAGCCGGUGCCAAAUGCAGCCGGCUAAUCGUGGAGGGGGAAGCAUUCAAAAAAUCAAGUAAAAUAAUAAGAAAACGAAGUCGAAUUGGGAUCUGAUGCUCCUGUCCUCUGGGUAGAAAAAAAAAAAUAUAUCAAAAAUUGCUCCGAGGAGAGAGAGGGAGAGAGAGAGAGAGAUGGAUGUGUAUUUUCCAAGCCGGUUACUAAGUGAAAUUUGCGUUACUUCCCAAAUCUAUGCCGCGGCUCUGUUUGAGUGUGUAAAGAGCUGUAACUAGCUGAUUUUUUUUUUUUUUUGAUAGAAACAUAAACAGAGACGAAAAAUGUAGGGAAUGUUUCACCUGUUUUACUGCCAUUAAAUAAACCUCAUCUGCUACCAAGCUGUUUUGGGUGACAUUUGUUAAAUAAAUACAUUUUGCGGGAGACUGGAACACGAAAGUUACAGACAUGCCGCUCUGUUCUCAGAUCAACUCUUGUUUGCUUCUCGGCACCCCUACCCGGGCCCCCCGGGGCGGGGGCAGCGCGAGGCACCGGAUUCAGACUGAUGUGCUCACAUAGGUCGCUCAGGUCUGAAUUUGCACGGUUACAACCACAGGGGCGUGUCGCUCUUGUAAAGGUCCCUUCAGCUAGGUGUCCCUCUGCCUCCGCCCCCAUCUCUCCCCUCCUUCCCUCCCUCCCCUCUUUAAAACGUCCUCAUGCGCUAGUUUUCCUUUUAAUUCUCGACGAACGAAGUAUUGCUUUUGCACCGCUAUGCGGAUUCCCCUUUUAAAUCGAUCAGUGUAUAUUUUGUGCAUGUCCGCCACCUUUCAAACGCUGUUAGGUCUUUGUGAUGAUUGAAAAAUAUGUGUAUUGAGUAUCUGCUUAAUGUAAAGCCAGUCGUACCACUUCUAGUUUAAAAAAAUAAAAAAGCCUAAUAAAUAAGAAAUGAUUGUCUACUAAGUGUUCUCCGUAGUCUCUCUGGAUACCCUCAGAGGCAAGAUGGCUGACCGUUUGCUGAUUUCCUAGGUAGGGUCGCUGCAAUUUCACAGCAAUCACAAUUGGAAAAAGUGAGAGAGACGAUGUGCCCAACAGAGAACUGUUGGUGCUUUGGCCAGACAGCGGAGGAAGGUUUUCCCAGCCCCCAGCAGACAGAGAACGCUCCUGAUGGCAACUACAGAAGUACACAGUUCUAGAGCGUUCCGCAACCAGACUGUGGGCACAGGACGCUCCAUGGGCAAGGUUCCUCCGGCUUUUCAGCCUGCUGCCUCUGAGAAAUUUCAUACGCUGAUUCUUUUCAAUUAUCUGUCAAGUUUCAAAAUGCAAAUAGAAACAUGAAUGUCAUCACUUUGGUACACACCAACGGAUUUCUUCCAGGCACCCAGACCAUAAGUGAAUGCAGUUCAAUAUGUUCUCUUCCCUUUUUUUUAAGUGGAGUUAAUAUUACUGUGUAGAUUUUGGUCAGCUUCCAGGAACCCAGUGUGUGGAGAGGCAGAAUUCUAUUUUAGAAGUACAAGUUGGUUUGAAAAAUGUGAACUCAGCCCAACUAUUUCUUUGUUUCAUCUUUCUUGCUAGACAUAUUUUAUUUUUCUACAAGAAACAUUUCUUCAUCUAAACACACACGCGCGCGCACACACACACACACACACGCACACACUUUUGGCCAAAUUAGGAUUACUGCUGAGAAUGUUUUUAAUUCUUUUCCAUGCUUAUGAUACAAAAAUGUAUAAAGCAAAAAGAAAAGUGGCCUGUAAACCCCAAGACAAGAUGAUACCCGAUAAUAAACAUUUUGGCAUGAUGUCUUUUCAUCAUCCUGUCCACAUAUACGUUUUAUAGAGCUGCGUUCACUGCAUUUUGCCCUUAACCUCAUCAAUAAACAUUGUCGUAUAUCAUUAAAAUGUAUUUAUUCACAUAACUUAAUGAUAUGUAUAUAUACUAUUUUAGCUAAUUAUUCACCUAUUUGGGGGCAUAUUGUAGUUUCCUCCUUUUUUGUAUUUUCAUGAUUACUGUGAUGCUUCAAUAAACCAAUUCAUGGAAAAUA
rnacentral:lncRNA from 1 species